rnacentral:rRNA from 1 species
CCCUUAGAUGUUCUGGGCCGCACGCGCGCUACACUGAUGCAUUCAACGAGUUUUUCCUGGUCCGAGAGGAAUGGGUAACCUUUUGAAAAUGCAUCGUGCUAGGGAUAGACUAUUGCAAUUAUUGGUCUUCAACGAGGAAUUCCUAGUAGACGUAGUUCAUCAGACUGCAUCGAUUACGUCCCUGCCCUUUGUACACACCGCCCGUCGCUCCUACCGAUUGGAUGAUCCGGUGAGCUAUUCGGACCUUCGCUUCGUCGAUUUUCGGCUUUGUGAGGGAAAGUCUCGCGAACCUUAUCAUCUAGAGGAAGGAGAAGUCGUAACA